UCUGAAAUCAGGUGGGAUUACCC
rnacentral:rRNA from 11 species